CAAUAGAAAAUGCAAGUGCUGAAAACUUCCCACCUGAUAUCCAGGCUUCUUCUAUUCUUUCAUGAUUCCGACAAACAUCUCAGAAUAAGGAUGGAAACCUCUUACAGAUUUUCCCAAGGACCAGCUGUUUGUUCUCUGGACAUCACAAGGAACCCAGUUUCCUUUUCUCUUGAGGAUCCACUUCAAUGCAUCAUCACAGGAUCCCUAACUACAUAAACAGCACCAAGCCCAAGUUGGUGUUUUUUAUUUCCAAAGAAAUAAAUGGAAGGAUCAUCAGGGCAACAUCUGAACUUUCACAGUUCAAGAGUUAAUUUGAAGUGUUCUGCUGUCAGUGGUACAGCCUCAUCAAAACAGUGGUGAGGAAGCUUAAUACAUUACAUAUUUGUGUGGACAAAUGUGGACAGCAAUAUUUUCUUCACUUCAAGGCUCAGGAAAGUCCUUUCCCAGAUAAUUCUGAAUUCUACAUCUCCUCAAACCUGUAGAUGCAAACUGAAAGUAUGGGCACUGGUCCUUUCUGUUCUGUAAGACAGUAUGUGGCCACAACAGGAGAAAAGAAGCUAUUUAGUUUUUAUUUGGUUUUGACUGCUCUGAUUGCUUGACUGGUCUACUUAUCCCAGGCCAGACACCCUGUAUCACAUGGAUCUGUCAUUGAAAGCUGUGCUUGUUUUAUCAGGGGGAGAGGUAAUUUUCUUCAUGGUGGCUGGUUUGAAUUCUGUUUGGGGACAGCAUUGAUAAUAGAGGAAUUUUUUCAUUACUGCUGAGCAGGGCUUGCUCAGAGUCAAGUCCUUUGCUGCUUCUCGCCUGACUCCAUCAGUGAGGAGGCUGGGGGUGCACAAGGAGUCAGGAGGGGACACAGCUGCGACCCACCUGACCUAAGGAAUAUCCCAGGCUACUGCACAUCAUGCUCAGCAUGGAAAGCUGAAAGAAGAAGGAAUAGGGGAAGUGAGUGAGCAGUUGUAUUGGACUAAUUUGCAGCUGGGGUUAAACCAUGACACAGCAUCAAGGACUAUGGAUCCAAAAUGCCAUAAUUGCUGGUGGAUGACACCCUACCUACCAUCAGUCUGUAAUUUCAGAGCUGGAGGUUUCUGUCAACCUCUCUUAAGCUCGAUCUGCCACAAAUACUUACCCUGAGUAAAGAGGGCUGACCUAAGAGCACAAACUGGCCUGGCUACGUGAUGGCUGAGACUGAGGACCUGGGAAAGAAAUGGCCACAUGGAAUGCUGUGGUGAUUUCCCUGUUUUAAGCCUUGUCACUCUUCAUCACGAUUUCAUGACACAGUUUUGAAGUCACCAGCAUGGACAAUGUCAAAAGAAAUAAAAAGUUCUGGAAGGGAUGUGAUAAACGGCCUACAGCUGAAAAGAAACCAAACUUCUGAAGAGGUCCAGGAUCAAAGGAUGUGGUAAAUGUCAUUUGGAUGGUACUUCUGUCAUGUUACAAGACUCACUGCAGCAAGCACAGGAGAACAAGUUCUGCAACAGAUCAGAGCCAAUUAUCAAAGUAAUCCCAUUUGGCCAUAAAAAUAUCUAGUCAUUUAAUACUGCUAAGCCUUGUUUGUAAUCACAAAACUUAAUGAGAACAACUUACACUGAAAGGAAAGAAGGGAAAUCUCUGGAGUAGAAAGGCUGCUAAAGAGGACGCUGACAAAUGCAAGCAAAUUUGAGGUUUUAACUUCUUUUAUAUAGGCCAUACCCCAUUCAUGGAGGAUUUCUCUUUAAUCAGUCAACCCAAUGCUGAAGCCAGCUACAAGAUUAUGCAAGCACGCUUUUGUUUUCACACUCUGUGCCAUGUAGGCAAGUCUCCCAAUUAAGAAAAGGUUUCUUUUGUUUGCAUGAGAUUCUGUUUAAUUUCCGGCAGGCAGAUUCAGAAAUAAUUACCAUCUAUAUAGAAGGAUGAAUAGCAGUCAAACCCAGAAUUCUCAUUACCCGCCAGAAUUUCAAAGUGAACUUAACUUCUAAGCAAGGAUUUGGCAGGUCUGAACAAAAGGGAAAAGGUAUUGGAUCAAAGUAGUGGUGUCUAAUUUAAAUUCUGAACACGAAGAAUGAUAUUUCAUAAGGUCCAGGACCUCAAAUCUUGGAAGAGCCUGAGAGUAGUCACAGAAUUCUGAGAAGGAUUCACAUUUCUUUUGAGAAGUCUGGCUCCUCCUUGCCACAUUUAAGGCAUAUUGGAGGUCUCAAACACUAGAGAAUGGUUUGGUCAGGUGAGGACAGGAGUGCCAUACAUAAAGGAUUUUAGCCAGUUUACAUUCCUGAUGGAGGGAUGUCAAGAAGAUGGUUCUCAGUCCUUCCCAGCAGUAGGACAAGAAGCACUGUGCACAAACUGAAAUACAGACAAUUCUGUUUAAACAUUAGAACAAACUUUUUUAUUCUAAGGAUGAGCGGAUAGAGGAACAGGUUUUCCAGAGUUGGAGAGAUAUUAAAAACUUGAUUCUACAUGACCCUCAGCAACCUGCCCUUGUUGACCCUACUAGAGUGACUGCUCUUGGAACAGAUUAUCCAGUUACCUUCCAGCCUUUACUAUUCUGUGGGUCUGUGGAACAAUAGCUCUAAUUCUCUGUACCUAUGCAAAUGUAAGGCAUAAGCAAAGCACCUUCUCCUCUUCUGCUCAGAAACACAGAGCUGGUAAAACCCACAGGCAGGAUAAUGUAUGGUUAACAACUUCAGCCCUUUAGAAUGCAAAGAUUAUUACAAUAAAUAAAGUAUUACACUUAGCUGUAUUAAUGUCCCCUGGCUGGCAUUAUUCUCCCUGGUGACAGUGCUAUUGAACAACUUGGUACAGCAAUAUAAAGGUUUAAUAUCUGCUACAUUUAAUAUCGAACUCUGAUACAGGCAGUGCCCACGAUGGCUACAGGUCUGUCAGCAUUUUCAAAGUUUUAUAACAGCCAUGAAAACUCAUGGAGUAUAGAAAUGAGUCAACCAGUACUUAUAAUUGCUGGCAUUUAGCACCACAGAUGAUGACUAAGAAUCUAUAUUUGAAAUACCUGGAGUUGGUGGAGUCCAAAUACAAAUCCUAGGGAAAAUCAACUAAGUACUACAUUUUUGUGAAUUAAAUACACACAAAUGUGUGCAGCUUGUAGAACUUUUAGGUGAGUGCUUAAAACCAUAUUUAUUCACACACACACCACAAACAUAUUUGGUCAUCAUACAAAAUGAGUAUUGUUUUGAUUUGGUUUUACCCUAAUGCAGAAUAUUGCCAUGUUUGGCAUUCAUCUUCCUACCCUUUCAUCAGCAGAGGUGGCUGCAUUUCGCAUUUCAGAAAUAACAUUUAGGGAAUUCCCUGAGGCAUAAUUUUCAGUGGCAGAUGUCACGUAUCUUAUACACUCAAAUACAGUUUGACAGCAUGCAAGUGGUCUUUGCUUCCUGCAUUAACCAACCUCACAAAAAAAUUAAGUUGAAACAAAAAUUCAGGGAGUUAGUCAUAAUGUCUGAAAUGCGUCUCUGAGAAGGAGCUCACAACAAAACAGAUGUGCCAAGAUGAUACAUUAAAUUUAUUUUUAUAUGGCAGUUUAUGUAAUUCAUCUGAAAGAGGAUGGAUCUUACAAAUCACACGUUGACAUAAUUUACAAUUAUCCAAAAGAAUCCUGAUGUGUUUCACAGACUUUAGUACAAACUCCAUAUAUCUAUGGUAUCCACCUCAAGGCUGUCAGUCACAAUUACAGAUGUGGUGCAAGUAAAUCAAAGGACAGAACAGUGGCUAAAUUAAAAUCAUGCUUGACCUUCAGGCUGAGCUGACUAAUUUAACUACAACUUUGUCUGAAAGACCUACAGAUAGUUUGGGUCACAGUCAGCAGGAGUCAUAUCCACCAGAAGAUGAAAGGCUGAGUCAGGUCUCACAGAUGUUAACCCAAGGUUGAAACACACUUUAACUACGUUUGUGUUCUCACGCUGAUCUUUGAGUUACUUUGAGGUUUUCAGUUAUAUGCAAAUGGUGUAAGAAAGAUCCCAAUCAGGCUCUGGAGGUUUCCACAUCAGUGCUUACACCUUUGGAGUUUCCAUUACCAAAUUCAGUGACUGACUUCAAUAUUUGCAUUCAAGUUAUUCACUUGCAUAAACUCAAGUAUAAAUAUAUAUUUUUUUCUGGGAAAACUAGUAGAUUAAAUAUGUUUCUUCAUUGAAAAAUCAACUUUUUAAUCAAAAUGCAAUUUGCCACUAGGGAUACCAUUUUCCAGCACAAAUAUUCUAACAUUAAUUCCUCCUGCCUCUCUUUUCUCCCUCCCUCAAAUGACAGUUUUGGAAAACUGAAAAUUUUCAGCUCCGUCUACUUAUGUCUUUGUUUUUUGACUUUUCCCCCCCAUAUUUAUCUAUGUCUUCAACAUAUAUUUAUGUUUAGGGAUACCAGCCUGAAAAACUAAAUAUCAUAUUUUUGGUAUUCUGAAGCUCAUACUGACAUAAAAUAUCGCUUAUAUUUUACCUUCAAGUAUACUUUAAAAAUAACUAUACCGAAAUUCAGCAAAAUCCAGGAUCUCAGGUAUGGUAACCUAACACCGGGGAAAGGUAUAAGGAGUAAAACAAAGCAGAUAAAAGUGUUAUUUUUGCGUGAUUCAUACCAGCUAACUGAUUAAUUUAAGAUAGACAAGUAUUUGUAAUUUUUCUUCUCAUGUUUCAAAUCUUAAAAACACCUCCUAUGAUAAAUAUGAAUCAAUAAUUCUUGAGCAAACAUAUUUUAAGAUUUAGUUGACAGGUCUACAGACAACUUCUAUAGAAUAAACUUGUUUCUUCUUCUAUUAAACCAGCAUACCAAAAAUAAACUGAAACAGAAAAUUUCAGUCCAUAUUUUAUAUUAGGCAUCUCAAACAAUUGAGGAAAAUGUUGAAUUUCAAGUCUUAUGAAUAGUGUAGGGCAAAAGCCUGACUGGUAUAUAAACCUGAACUAAAAUGUACAGAUGCACUUCACAGUAAUUCUACUAGAAAUUUGCAUAAAAAGUUGUAGCCCUUCCUGCUUGCUGUCUUCUAGCAAUUGAACUUUCCCUGCUUCAGAUCCCUACAUUCAAUACCUACGCACCAAAAUAAAUUAAUUGAAAACAAA